AGGUUUUUGCACCACUGCAACUGUGGGAUACAUUUUGGAAUGCAUCAGAUGGUAGGUACAGUGAUUUGCCUGCAAUGCGAAAUCAGAACUAUGCUCAAGACCACCACCGUACGCACGGUUUGAUAUAAUAUUGAAACUGACUAAUAUUCAAAGUAAGGAGGAACGACAUAAAAUGGAUUCGCUGAAUGAAAAUUUAGCCAUGUACACCCAGUAGACGGAGUUAACACAUGUGGAUGAGGCGUCUCUUCUAGUGAUUAAACGUCUGUUAAUUUUAUGACUCGCGGGGAUGAACGGUCCGUUUACAAGACUCAUGCAGACGCGGAUUUAAGCGGGGUGUACGGGGCACCUCUAUAAUGGGCGGUGGUGGAGGCGGUAACAUGGUCGUACAUAACUGCGUGCAGCAACCAGCUCGCGAUAAGGAGAGACGCGGACCAUAAAUCUCCAUCAGAUCAAGUUACCACGAUUUACUGCCAAAACAGGUAUUCGUGUUGAAUAACUAUUUUUCCGUCGUCGGACCACGCGAAGCAUCCGUCGAGAAACGACCUCUAAGAGGCGCGACGACGGUCGUUAAAUUUUGGGAUUUGGGAGUCUCCAACGCGUUUCUUAUAUUACAACGACUAUAAAAACGAAACCCAUUUAUUACCGGUGGAAUUUUCUUGUGUUUCUAACUGCAGGCUUUCGAAAAUAUAUAUUAUACGGCGUGUAGGACGUACACAGCAA